AUGAACGCUAGCUACAGGCUUAACACAUGCAAGUCGAGGGGCAGCGGUAUCGAAAGCUUGCUUUCGGUAGCCGGCGACCGGCGCACGGGUGAGUAACGCGUAUCGAACCUGCCUCAUACUCGGGAAUAGCCUUGCGAAAGUAAGAUUAAUGCCCGGUGUCUUCAGAGUCCCGCAUGAGGCUUUGAACAAAGAUUUAUCGGUAUGAGAUGGCGAUGCGUCCCAUUAGCUUGUUGGCGGGGUAACGGCCCACCAAGGCAUCGAUGGGUAGGGGUUCUGAGAGGAAGGUCCCCCACAUUGGAACUGAGACACGGUCCAAACUCCUACGGGAGGCAGCAGUGAGGAAUAUUGGUCAAUGGGCGGAAGCCUGAACCAGCCAAGUAGCGUGCAGGAAGACGGCCCUCCGGGUUGUAAACUGCUUUUAGUUGGGAAUAAAACGGGGCUCGUGAGCCCCCUUGCAUGUACCAUCAGAAAAAGGACCGGCUAAUUCCGUG
rnacentral:rRNA from 1 species